rnacentral:ncRNA from 1 species
AGACUAGAAGGGCAAACUUGCCGAAAGACAAGGACGCAAAGCCACGGGCCUAAAGUACCAGCAACAGCUACGGCAGCCGGGUUUCUAUA